rnacentral:rRNA from 1 species
UACGUAGGUGACAAGCGUUGUCCGGAUUUACUGGGCGUAAAGAGCGCGCAGGCGGUCGAUCAAGUCGAGUGUGAAAGCCCCCGGCUCAACUGGGGAGGGUCAUUCGAUACUGAUCGACUCGAAGGCAGGAGAGGGUAGUGGAAUUCCCGGUGUAGUGGUGAAAUGCGUAGAUAUCGGGGAGGAACACCAGUGGCGAAGGCGGCUCACUGGCCCGGUACUGACGCUGAGGUGCGAAAGCGUGGGGAGCAAACAGG